rnacentral:rRNA from 1 species
UACGUAGGGGCCAAGCGUUGUCCGGAUUUAUUGGGCGUAAAGAGCUCGUAGGCGGUUGGGUAAGUCGGGUGUGAAAACUCGGGGCUUAACCCCGAGCCUGCUUCUGAUACGGGCAGACUAGAGGUAUGCAGGGGAGAACGGAAUUCCUGGUGUAGCGGUGAAAUGCGCAGAUAUCAGGAGGAACACCGGUGGCGAAGGCGGUUCUCUGGGCAUUACCUGACGCUGAGGAGCGAAAGUGUGGGGAGCGAACAGG